GAGAGCGCAGUAAAACGGAGGGUUGUUUGCUGCGUUCGGGAAGGAUGAAUUUCUCUCGAAAAGGAAUCUAUUGAUUCUCUCCCAAUUGGUUGGACCGUAGGUGUGAUGAUUUACUUCAC
rnacentral:ncRNA from 1 species